AGAGUUUGAUCCUGGCUCAGGAUGAACGCUAGCGGGAGGCCUAACACAUGCAAGUCGAACGGGAUUGAGAGCUUGCUCUCAUGAGAGCGGCGGACGGGUGAGUAACGCGUGGGCAACCUGCCCCAUACAAAGGGAUAGCCACUGGAAACGGUGAUUAAUACCUUAUAAGUCGGUAGUCUCGCAUGAGACAGCCGACAAAGAUUUAUCGGUAUGGGAUGGGCCCGCGUUUGAUUAGCUAGUUGGUGAGGUAACGGCUCACCAAGGCGACGAUCAAUAGCCGACCUGAGAGGGUGAUCGGCCACACUGGAACUGAGACACGGUCCAGACUCCUACGGGAGGCAGCAGUGGGGAAUAUUGCACAAUGGGCGCAAGCCUGAUGCAGCAACGCCGCGUGAGUGAUGAAGGCCUUCGGGUCGUAAAACUCUGUCCUAUGGGAAGAAAAAAAUGACGGUACCAUAGGAGGAAGCCCCGGCUAACUACGUGCCAGCAGCCGCGGUAAUACGUAGGGGGCAAGCGUUAUCCGGAAUCACUGGGCGUAAAGGGUGCGUAGGUGGCUCAUCAAGCCAGAGGUGAAAGGCAUUGGCUCAACCAAUGUAAGCCUUUGGAACUGACGAGCUUGAGUGCAGGAGAGGUAAGUGGAAUUCCUAGUGUAGAGGUGAAAUUCGUAGAUAUUAGGAGGAACACCAGUGGCGAAGGCGACUUACUGGACUGUAACUGACACUGAGGCACGAAAGCGUGGGGAGCGAACAGGAUUAGAUACCCUGGUAGUCC
rnacentral:rRNA from 1 species